rnacentral:rRNA from 1 species
GACGAACGCUGGCGGCGUGCUUAACACAUGCAAGUCGAACGGAAAGGCCCUGCUUUUGUGGGGUGCUCGAGUGGCGAACGGGUGAGUAACACGUGAGUAACCUGCCCUUGACUUUGGGAUAACUUCAGGAAACUGGGGCUAAUACCGGAUCGGAGCUCCUGCUGCAUGGUGGGGGUUGGAAAGGUUCGGCGGUUGGGGACGGACUCGCGGCUUAUCAGCUUGUUGGUGGAGUAGUGGCUUACCAAGGCUUUGGCGGGUAGCCGGCCUGAGAGGGUGACCGGGCCCAUGAGGACUACGAUACGGCCCAGACUCCUACGGGAGGCAGCAGUGGGGAAUAUUGUACAAUGGGCGGAAGCCUGAUGCAGCAGCGCCGCGUGUGGGAUGACGGCCUUCGGGUUGUAAACCGCUUUCGCCUGUGACGAAGCGUGAGUGACGGUAAUGAGUAAAGAAGCACCGGCUAACUACGUG